rnacentral:misc_RNA from 1 species
CCGAGUUUACAACUCCCAAACCCAAUGUGGACGUUACCAAACUGUUGCCUCGGCGGGGUCACGCCCCGGGUGCGUAAAAGCCCCGGAACCAGGCGCCCGCCGGAGGAACCAACCAAACUCUUUCUGUAGUCCCCUCGCGGACGUAUUUCUUACAGCUCUGAGCAAAAAUUCAAAAUGAAUCA